CAAAAUGGGAGGUAAAUUUCUCCUAAAGCUAAAUAUUGGCGAGAGACCGAUAGCAAACAAGUACCGCGAGGGAAAGAUGAAAAGAACUUUGAAAAGAGAGUUAAAUAGUACGUGAAAUUGUUGGAAAGGAAACGAUUAAAGUCAGUCAUACCAACGGGAAAUCAACCUUUUGAGUUCGGUCUUGUGGGUUUGAAGAGUUUCAAAGCCUUCGGAUUUGUGAGAUUGGGAUCUCUUGGUGCACUUUUUCGUACGGUUAGUCAACAUCGGUUUUAAUCAUUAUAAAAUGGUUGAAGGAAUGUAACUUUGAUUUCGAUCGAGGUAUUAUAGCCUUUGACAGAUGUAAUGAUCAAGACCGAGGAUUGCAACGGAUACCCUUCAGGGCUAUUCGUCUGAUCUUUGGUACUUGUCUUUAGUAUCGGAAGCUUGCUAACGAUAUUAGGGUUCACGGGUCAAAGGUUGGAACGGAUUAAA
rnacentral:rRNA from 1 species